ensembl:snoRNA
UGGAUCGAUGAUGACUCCUGGUGGCGUAUGAGUCAUGUAUGAUGAAUAUGUGUCUGGAACUUCAAGCUCCAA